AGCAGUAGCCGCGGGAAUACGAGGGGGGCAAGCGUUGUUCGGAUUUAUUGGGCGUAAAGGGCUCGCAGGCGGUUUCUUAAGUCUGAUGUGAAAGCCCCCGGCUCAACCGGGGAGGGUCAUUGGAAACUGGGAAACUUGAGUGCAGAAGAGGAGAGUGGAAUUCCACGUGUAGCGGUGAAAUGCGUAGAGAUGUGGAGGAACACCAGUGGCGAAGGCGACUCUCUGGUCUGUAACUGACGCUGAGGAGCGAAAGCGUGGGGAGCGAACAGGAUUAGAUACCCGAGUAGUCCCUGUCUCUUAUAA
rnacentral:rRNA from 1 species